AAGUCGUAACAAGGUUUCCGUAGGUGAACCUGCGGAAGGAUCAUUAACACAAAGUCACAGUUGUUUCCUUUUUCUCUCGCAGAGAAGGGGGCAACAUGUCACUUUUCACCCCCCUUUGUGCAAACUUGUUUUUCUUCAGUAUUCCCGGGCAAGUUAGCAGUCGUCAUGACUGAGAGCUUGUCUGUUGGUUUCACUUUUCAACCCCUUGAACUGUCUUGGACUGAAAUCUGAGUGUUUUUCUUUCUUCGUAAGAAGAAAAAAAGCAUUCUGCCAUUAUAUCAAACGCUGAACAACUCUUAGCAACGGAUAUCUUGGCUCUC
rnacentral:misc_RNA from 1 species